rnacentral:rRNA from 1 species
UACGUAGGGUGCGAGCGUUGUCCGGAAUUACUGGGCGUAAAGAGCUCGUAGGUGGUUUGUCGCGUUGUUCGUGAAAACUCACGGCUUAACUGUGAGCGUGCGGGCGAUACGGGCAGACUGGAGUACUGCAGGGGAGACUGGAAUUCCUGGUGUAGCGGUGGAAUGCGCAGAUAUCAGGAGGAACACCGGUGGCGAAGGCGGGUCUCUGGGCAGUAACUGACGCUGAGGAGCGAAAGCGUGGGGAGCAAACAGG